AGAGGUCAAGCACAUCUAAGCAUUGCCAUUAUUUAUAUCAGUUUGCUACCCUCACUACCAGCCAGCUCGUGCCCAAAACAAUUACUUUUUCCUAAGGUUAUAUUUGUUGUUCUUGAUUGAAACACGGAAUAUCAAAGCCAUAAUAAGUAUCACAUAUCGUCACCUUCGUAAAAUAAUCACCUAAGUCAUUUUUCAGAGAUUUCCAGGUUUUUGUCUACAUCAAUUUUUCAACAUGACACCCAUUUUUGUAUAGUUGCCUUGGUCAUUCAGGGUUUGAGUGUUCUAGAAUUGGCCUUUUCAUUCCCGCCUAAAUCUUAAGACAAAUGUGAUAAUGACACUUCUUUUAUGAUUUUCUGAAGAGUAGAAAAUAAUGACUUAGGUGGUUUGUUUACCAAGGUGACGAUGUAUAAAAGUUAAGUCAUAGGUUGGUAUUUUAAGACACUUUCUCUUCUCACGUCAACUAUUUCUAAAGGUCAAAGAGGGGGUCAAUCGGGUUCCAUGGUACAGAAGAAGGGUCAAACUACCACCAGGGUCAUGAAGCUGCUCCUGGAAAUGCCCGAAACUCCUACGAAAGCCUUGUCAAAUUUGCGUUCCUUCAGGUUCAUGGUACAGAAGAAGGGUCAAACUACUCCUGGAAAUGCCCAAAACUCCCACGAAAGCCUUGUCAAAUAGGUGUGGAGGAGGCUGCCAAGGAUGCGGUGGAGUGGAAGCGUGCACCUGCCAGCCCCACACACCUGCCUGCCCACACCUGUCCUCGACCCGGCACUCUGCACAGACUGGCUCCAACCACUGCAGAGAACACCAAUGGGAUAAGUAAAGAAGUCCUGCCAUCCUACCCCUGCAGAGGAGAUGAGUACCUCCACCACCACCACCACCCUUCCAUCAGUAUCAAGAAAGGGAAAAGUACAACCAUAUCAGACUCCACUACAACCACCACACGAGACUUCCACCAGUGUCAAAAGUCCUACCACCAUCACCCAGGACUCUUCAACCAGUACCACCUUCCCAUACCCACCCAAGAAUUCCACCAGUGUCAAGGAGUCUUUCUACCACCAUCAGCCAGCAGAGAAGAUACCCCACGACCACCACCCAGGACUCUCCAACCGGUACCACUUUCCCCUACCCACCCAAGAAUUCCACCAGUGUCAAGAGUCUUUCUACCACCACCACCCACCAGAGAAGAGACCUCACCACCACCACCACCACCCAGGACUCUACCAGCCUCCCUGUCAGCACCUUCAGAAACUCUCUGUCAGACUCGCUUUCGCUGGCAGGUUGCUGGUAAACGAGCUGUAAAGAGGUUUAGGUCAGAGACUCCCCAACAUAAAUGAAUUGCUUUUGACUUUUUUUUUUAAUACAUUUUUUCUAGUGGUGUGGGUGUCAGUGUAUCUCCGGACAGUCUUUGAGGUAUCUGUAAUAUAAGAGCUCCAUUAAAUUUAUACUAGCAAAUCCUGUUUACCAUAUCCUCCCUCCUUGCUACCUUCUGCAAAGAUCAACUGCCUACAUGGUUAUCCAG